AAGUCGUAACAAGGUAACCGUAGGUGAACCUGCGGUUGGAUCAUUAGAAAUUAUCGGUGUGGUUUCUCGUUUUACGUGAUUCCGCUACAAACACCGUUAAACCAUUAUGUGAACUUGUAUUUGUUCUUGGUGGACGAGUCCGGGGACUCUUAAACGCUGUGGGAAGGACGUGUGGGUUAAAACGCGUGAACCUAGGUACGCGCGUUACCCCGCGUUAUCACGGGCCACCAAAUGUGUUGAACCUAUUGAAGUCUUUAGUUUUUUUGGUCUUUUUUAACGUCUCCUUGAUUGGGGUGUUAAUACAAAUUGAAUACAACUUUUGGCAACGGAUCUCUUGGCUCUC
rnacentral:misc_RNA from 1 species